rnacentral:tRNA from 1 species
GCCCGAGUGGCGGAACAGGCAGACGCAAGGGACUUAAAAUCCUUUGGGCCUUUGCGCCCGUGUGGGUUCGAGUCCCACCUCGGGCACCA